GGGUUGUGAGGUUAAGCGACUAAGCGUACACGGUGGAUGCCCUGGCAGUCAGAGGCGAUGAAGGGCGUGCUAAUCUGCGAUAAGCGCCGGUAAGGUGAUAUGAACCGUUAUAACCGGCGAUACCCGAAUGGGGAAACCCAGUGUGAUUCGUCACACUAUCAUUAACUGAAUCCAUAGGUUAAUGAGGCGAACCGGGGGAACUGAAACAUCUAAGUACCCCGAGGAAAAGAAAUCAACCGAGAUUCCCCCAGUAGCGGCGAGCGAACGGGGAGGAGCCCAGAGCCUGAAUCAGCAUGUGUGUUAGUGGAAGCGUCUGGAAAGGCGCGCGAUACAGGGUGACAGCCCCGUACACAAAAGCGCAUGUGCUGUGAGCUCGAUGAGUAGGGCGGGACACGUGGUAUCCUGUCUGAAUAUGGGGGGACCAUCCUCCAAGGCUAAAUACUCCUGACUGACCGAUAGUGAACCAGUACCGUGAGGGAAAGGCGAAAAGAACCCCGGCGAGGGGAGUGAAAAAGAACCUGAAACCGUGUACGUACAAGCAGUGGGAGCACCCUUUGGGUGUGACUGCGUACCUUUUGUAUAAUGGGUCAGCGACUUAUAUUCUGUAGCAAGGUUAACCGAAUAGGGGAGCCGGAGGGAAACCGAGUC
rnacentral:rRNA from 1 species